UACGAAGGUGGCAAGCGUUGUUCGGAUUUACUGGGCGUACAGGGAGCGUAGGCGGUUGGAUAAGCCCUCCGUGAAAUCUCCAGGCUUAACCUGGAAAGUGCAAAGGGGACUGUUCAGCUAGAGGAUGGGAGAGGAGCGCGGAAUUCCCGGUGUAGCGGUGAAAUGCGUAGAGAUCGGGAGGAAGGCCGGUGGCGAAGGCGGCGCUCUGGAACAUUUCUGACGCUGAGGCUCGAAAGCGUGGGGAGCAAACAGG
rnacentral:rRNA from 1 species